GGGACGCUUUGGAUGCUAUAAGCCAUGCGAGUCAUUGUAGUAAUACAAGGCAGACGGCUCAUUAACGCGUCACUUAUCUACUCUAUGGACGGGAAUAACCUCGGGAAGCUGAUCAUAUUGACCGAUAGAACAUUAUGCCUGGAAUGGUUUAUGUUCCAAAUGAUUUAUCGGCGUAGGAUGGGACUGCUGCCUAUCAUUUUGUUGAUGAGGUAAUGGCCCACCAACACUAUUACAGGUACGGGCUCUGAUAAGAGUAGCCCGGAGAUGAGUACUGAUGACACGGACCCACGCCCUAUGGGGCGCAGCAGGCGAGAAAACUUUGCAAUGUGCGAAAGCACGACAAGGUUAAUCCGAGUGGUUUCUGCUAAAGAGACCUUUUGUCGGUCCUAGAAACACCGAUGAAUAAAGUGUGAGCUAGUUCUAGUGUCAGCCGCCGCGGUAAAACCAGCACCUCAAGUGGUCAUGAUGAUUAUUGGGAGUCACUAAUGAAUUCGCGGCCGCCUGAAAGUGUUCUCUAUUAAUAUACCUUCUACAGCCGGGGAGGCCUGAGUAGAGUAUACUGGCUUGGCGACCAGAUAGCUCGGCGCAUUCUAGGUCAUA
rnacentral:rRNA from 1 species